UUGCAACCCACGAUAGUAUCUUAGUGUAAAAUAAUGACUUCUGGUGGGCUUUGUAGAUUGUCUGCUCUCCUGCUACUUUGAUCUACACCGAGGCCUUUCUUAUUGCAACCCACGAUAGCAUCGUACUGUGAAAUGUAGAUUGUCUGCGCUCCUGCUACCUUGAUCUACACCUGGGUCAAGUUUGAUUAACUGGCGAUGGCCCAGCAUGUAACUAGAGCGUUUGCUAUAUUUCAGGCCUUCCUUAUUGCUACCCACGAUAGUAUCUUAGUGUAAAAUAAUGACUUCUGGUGGGCUUUGUAGAUUGUCUGCUCUCCUGCUACCUUGAUCUACACCGAGGCCUUCCUUAUUGCAACCCACGAUAGAAUCGUAGUGUG